CCGGGUGGACACACGGAUGCAAGGCCGAAAUGAGAUAAAAUAAAUGGAUUCCAUUUAAAGGUGCACCUCUGGCAACAACAUGUGCAAAGUGCCAACCUUGAGAUGUUCCCACUCACAGAGGAGCGGCAAGAUCACCCUGCUGCACUGUGCGAGGUAAUAGGUAAACAUCUGUAAACUCUUGAGAAGUUGUCAUUUUAUUUCUCUUCAGCCUCCAUUGAAUGCCUUGACUGCUGUUGGAAAGGACAUGACUUUACAGGAGCAGGAGGAACUAACUGAACUGAAACAAGAUCGUGGUUUAAAGCUAAGAUUUGCUGAACUUCUUUUGGACAGUUUUUGGUUGACUGCUGCCAAGGAAUUCCCCAUUCCGGCCAACAAAGUUUUGACAUUGCUCCCAUUUUCCACAACAUAUGUGUGUGAGCUGAGCUUUUCAAGCCUAACUGCUAUAAAAACUAAAAACAGAGAGAGACUGAAAGCUGCUGAAGAGCUUCGUGUAUGCCUUUCUUCAAUUCCUGCCAGGAUAUCGGCUUUAUGUUCAUCUAAACAGGCCCAGGUUUCACACUGAGAAGCUGCCUUAAUCACGAUGUACCCAGGCUACGCAGGCAGGACCGAGCUCCGGGACAACCUGGAGGCCCGCUUCAGAUCCGUCUCCAUGAUUGUGCCCGACCACGCCGUCAUCGCAGAGGUGUGCUCGGGUGCCGUCAUUCAUUACAUUAUGUAAUGAACGCAAUAACGGAUGUAUUCUGGCGUGUUACAGAACCGUUUCACGUUGUCUUUUUUGCUGUAGGUGGACUUGUGAGCUGAGGGCUUCAAGUCCAGUGAGACUCUGGCGAAGAAGAUGAUUCAGCUGUAUAAGCUGUGCAGCAAGCAGCUUUCCCGGCAGGACUACUACGACUUCAGCAUGAGAGUCGUCAACUCUGUUAUCGUCAUGGCCGGGUCGCUGAUGCGAGAGAACCCACACCUGAGUGAGAACGUGGUGUUGAUUAGAGCGCUACGAUACUCCAACCUGCCCAAGUUACUCAAGGAUGACGCAGAACUUAAAAUAAAAUAAAUUGAUAAAUAGUAAAGAACGCCAAAGCUUACAUAUGGAGUAUCAAAGGUCAUUAUCACAGGAUCACUGGAAUCAGGCACUAGGAGGAAAUUCCAGGACAAAUUAGGAAAUACAAUUAACUGACAUUUGCAAAUUCUUUGCAACUAAAAAGCUGUAAUCAUAUACUAUAUAACUUUUUUUAAAGCAUUUAAAGUAUAUAACAUUAACACCUUGUAAUGUUAUACCAGAUGAAAGUAAAGAAUCCUGGAACAUCUGAACAUCCAUAAUCUGAAAAUCUUGAACCUAGUGUCAAUCGAGUCAAUCCAAUCUUUCUUGUGUGCGUUUAGCGGUAUUCUGUCGGACCUCUUUCCUGG